CGGCUGUGGAGGUGGCCUUCCUAGGUGGACCUUUGGGGAUGGGGAGCAGGCCCUCCACCAGUUCCAGCCUCCGUACAACGAGUCCUUCCCAGUUCCAGACCCCUCGGUGGCCCAGGUGCUGGUGGAGCACAAUGUCACGCACACCUACGCUGCCCCAGGUGAGUACGUCCUGACCGUGCUGGCAUCUAAUGCCUUCGAGAACCGGAUGCAGCAGGUGCCUGUGAGCGUGCGCGCCUCCCUGCCCUCCGAGGCUGUGGGUGUGAGUGACGGCGUCCUGG
rnacentral:lncRNA from 1 species